AUUGAACGCUGGCGGCAGGCCUAACACAUGCAAGUCGAGCGGCAGCGGGAAAGUAGCUUGCUACUUUUGCCGGCGAGCGGCGGACGGGUGAGUAAUGCCUGGGAAAUUGCCCAGUCGAGGGGGAUAACAGUUGGAAACGACUGCUAAUACCGCAUACGCCCUACGGGGGAAAGCAGGGGACCUUCGGGCCUUGCGCGAUUGGAUAUGCCCAGGUGGGAUUAGCUAGUUGGUGAGGUAAUGGCUCACCAAGGCGACGAUCCCUAGCUGGUCUGAGAGGAUGAUCAGCCACACUGGAACUGAGACACGGUCCAGACUCCUACGGGAGGCAGCAGUGGGGAAUAUUGCACAAUGGGGGAAACCCUGAUGCAGCCAUGCCGCGUGUGUGAAGAAGGCCUUCGGGUUGUAAAGCACUUUCAGCGAGGAGGAAAGGUUGAUGCCUAAUACGUAUCAACUGUGACGUUACUCGCAGAAGAAGCACCGGCUAACUCCGUGCCAGCAGCCGCGGUAAUGCGGAGGGUGCAAGCGUUAAUCGGAAUUACUGGGCGUAAAGCGCACGCAGGCGGUUGGAUAAGUUAGAUGUGAAAGCCCCGGGCUCAACCUGGGAAUUGCAUUUAAAACUGUCCAGCUAGAGUCUUGUAGAGGGGGGUAGAAUUCCAGGUGUAGCGGUGAAAUGCGUAGAGAUCUGGAGGAAUACCGGUGGCGAAGGCGGCCCCCUGGACAAAGACUGACGCUCAGGUGCGAAAGCGUGGGGAGCAAACAGG
rnacentral:rRNA from 1 species